UCUCGCCGUAUACCUCUUUGUCAAUGCCUGAUCUGGUCUGAUCUUGGAAGCUACGCAGGGCUGGACCUGGUUAGUACUUGGAUGGGACACCGCGGGGAAUACCACGUGCCACAGCGGGGA
rnacentral:rRNA from 1 species